rnacentral:lncRNA from 1 species
UCAAAACACCCACCACAAUUACCAUUAUAUGCACAUAUGUUCAAAUUUAUAUAUUAGUAAACAAUUGGUGUGUUACAUCUUCUCUCCAUCAUAUGUAUCUCUUCUACUAUGUGUUUUACCAUAUUCUUUAUUUUGUUUUAAAACCAUCAUAGAUGAUAUGUGUUACUUAAAUUAGAUAAGCUACAAUUGAAGACCUCAUGAAUUAAAUUUUUAGAAUCAUGUGUUGUUUUGACCUAAAAUCCUGAAGUGUCUCUAGAAGGGUUUUUAAUUCUCAAAAAUCAAUAGAUUUAGAAUUGGAAGCUUCAUCGCGAUUCUUAUCAAUUCUUUUUUUAUCAGAGAGAGAAAAUUCUUAAAUAAAGUGGUGCUUCCUAGUUCAACAUUGGGAAUACGAUCAACAAAAAAAUAGUUAACAACAGGAUGAGUACUAUUAUUACCCUAAAUAUCUUGCAUGUACCAUAAAUUUCUACCUUGUGUAGAGUAGCUAUGUUUUUAGGACAAAUUUAUUUGCCAACUUCUAUAAAACUUAUGCAUCUUCAAUAGGGUGAGGUUUUCCAUGACCAUUAUAUUUUUUAAAUUUGUCAAUGAAAUUUUCUACAACCUUACAAGAUUCAAAAACCAACAGAAGUUUUUCAAAGGCAAUGCAAACAAAAAAUGCAUAUUCUUCAUGUUGAAUAAGAAUGCGAUCUCUCAACUCUUGUAUCAUAUCUAAAUUGACCAAAACUUAAGGAAAACGACAAAACUUUUUUGAGUUGGUAGCUUUGUCAAAAAAUAAAAUGGUUCCAAUACUUGGAGUGAUUGUGAAAAAUCACAUUGCAAAUCCAAAACUGGGGUAGAUUGAAGAUAUGAAUCCAAUAUUAGGACUUUAUGUUUCAUACCUAAUUUGGAUUGAAAUAUUUCGUCCAUUAGAAGACGAGAAGAAGACAUAGUUUCAUAUUCCAAAUUUCAGUUGUUCAAACACUUUGCAAAUCAUCAUGAGAAGCAUAAGAGAACUCAUAAAAUUAUUUCUUGGGAGGAACCACCUUCCAUGAAUUGAUCGAUUUCCAUACUUUUAAAAACUUUUAACGUAAAUCUGAUAAAAUGACCGACGAGAUCCUUAAACCCUAGCUCAACUGAAUAAUGCUGAUAUCGUUAGGUUGUAUGUAUUGUCUCGGGCUCAAACCUGAGACCUCACAGUUGUGUGAGUUAAUUAUGGGAAAAUUUAUCAUCGCUUCUAAAAUAAAACUAAAAAAUAACCGACGAUUCGACAACAAGAAACCGACGACGACAUCCAUAAACUAAAUGCAAACUAGAUUGAACUCAAAAUUAGAUUGAAGAAACCAAACACGAAUCAAAAGCCAAAUGUGAAUAGAGUAAUCAAGCGUGAAUUAGAAGCCAAACAUGAAUCAUAAUCCAAAUUUAAAAACAAAAAUAAAAUACUAAAGCAAACACAAAUGCAAAAACAGUUUGAAUACGAGACAAGAAUCACAGAUUGAACACGAGUCUGAUUAACCAUUAAUGAAAAAAG